CUUACACAUGCAGUCGAGCGGUAAGGCCCUUCGGGGUACACGAGCGGCGAACGGGUGAGUAACACGUGGGUGAUCUGCCUCGCACUCUGGGAUAAGCCUGGGAAACUGGGUCUAAUACCGGAUAUGAGCAUGGUCUGCAUGGACUGUGUUGGAAAGGUUUACUGGUGCGAGAUGGGCCCGCGGCCUAUCAGCUUGUUGGUGGGGUAACGGCCUACCAAGGCGACGACGGGUAGCCGGCCUGAGAGGGCGACCGGCCACACUGGGACUGAGACACGGCCCAGACUCCUACGGGAGGCAGCAGUGGGGAAUAUUGCACAAUGGGCGAAAGCCUGAUGCAGCGACGCCGCGUGAGGGAUGACGGCCUUCGGGUUGUAAACCUCUUUCGACAGGGACGAAGCGCAAGUGACGGUACCUGUAGAAGAAGCACCGGCCAACUACGUGCCAGCAGCCGCGGUAAUACGUAGGGUGCGAGCGUUGUCCGGAAUUACUGGGCGUAAAGAGCUUGUAGGCGGUCUGUCGCGUCGAUUGUGAAAACUCACAGCUCAACUGUGAGCCUGCAGUCGAUACGGGCAGACUAGAGUACUUCAGGGGAGACUGGAAUUCCUGGUGUAGCGGUGAAAUGCGCAGAUAUCAGGAGGAACACCGGUGGCGAAGGCGGGUCUCUGGGAAGUAACUGACGCUGAGAAGCGAAAGCGUGGGUAGCGAACAGGAUUAGAUACCCUGGUAGUCCACGCCGUAAACGGUGGGUACUAGGUGUGGGUUUCCUUCCACGGGAUCCGUGCCGUAGCUAACGCAUUAAGUACCCCGCCUGGGGAGUACGGCCGCAAGGCUAAAACUCAAAGGAAUUGACGGGGGCCCGCACAAGCGGCGGAGCAUGUGGAUUAAUUCGAUGCAACGCGAAGAACCUUACCUGGGUUUGACAUACACCGGAAAGCCGUAGAGAUACGGCCCCCCUUGUGGUCGGUGUACAGGUGGUGCAUGGCUGUCGUCAGCUCGUGUCGUGAGAUGUUGGGUUAAGUCCCGCAACGAGCGCAACCCUUAUCUUAUGUUGCCAGCGCGUAAUGGCGGGGACUCGUGAGAGACUGCCGGGGUCAACUCGGAGGAAGGUGGGGACGACGUCAAGUCAUCAUGCCCCUUAUGUCCAGGGCUUCACACAUGCUACAAUGGCCGGUACAGAGGGCUGCGAUACCGUGAGGUGGAGCGAAUCCCUUAAAGCCGGUCUCAGUUCGGAUCGGGGUCUGCAACUCGACCCCGUGAAGUUGGAGUCGCUAGUAAUCGCAGAUCAGCAACGAUGCGGUGAAUACGUUCCCGGGCCUUGUACACACCGCCCCUCAA
rnacentral:rRNA from 1 species